rnacentral:tRNA from 1 species
GGAGAAGUGGCCGAGUGGUCGAAGGCACUCCCCUGCUAAGGGAGCAUGCGGUCAAAAACUGCAUCGAGGUUCGAAUCCUCCUUCUCCGCCA